AACGAACGCUGGCGGCAUGCCUAACACAUGCAAGUCGAACGAGACCUUCGGGUCUAGUGGCGCACGGGUGCGUAACGCGUGGGAAUCUACCCUUGGGUUCGGAAUAACGGUUAGAAAUGACUGCUAAUACUGGAUGAUGACGUAAGUCCAAAGAUUUAUCGCCCAAGGAUGAGCCCGCGUAAGAUUAGCUUGUUGGUGGGGUAAUGGCCUACCAAGGCGACGAUCUUUAGCUGGUCUGAGAGGAUGAUCAGCCACACUGGGACUGAGACACGGCCCAGACGCCUACGGGAGGCAGCAGUGGGGAAUAUUGGACAAUGGGCGAAAGCCUGAUCCAGCAAUGCCGCGUGAGUGAUGAAGGCCUUAGGGUUGUAAAGCUCUGUUACCAGGGAUGAUAAUGACAGUACCUGGAGAAUAAGCGCCGGCUAACUCCGUGCCAGCAGCCGCGGUAA
rnacentral:rRNA from 1 species